rnacentral:rRNA from 1 species
GACGAACGCUGGCGGCGUGCCUAACACAUGCAAGUUGAGCGACGAACCAGGGCUUGCCCUGGGGCAAAGCAGCGAACGGGUGAGUAACACGUGGGUAACCUACCCCGAUAACCGGGACAACCCGAGGAAACUCGGGCUAAUACCGGAUGUGCUCACUGGACUUCGGUUCAGUGCGUAAAGGAAGCUUCGGCCUCCGUAUCGGGAGGGGCCCGCGGCCCAUUAGUUUGUUGGUGAGGUAACGGCUCACCAAGACCGCGAUGGGUAGCUGGUCUGAGAGGACGAUCAGCCACACUGGGACUGAGACACGGCCCAGACUCCUACGGGAGGCAGCAGUGGGGAAUCUUGCGCAGUGCGCGAAAGCGUGACGCAGCAACGCCGCGUGGGGGAAGAAGGCCUUCGGGUUGUAAACCCCUUUCAGGAGGGACGAAGGUUCGGCGGUGAAUAGCCGUCCGGACUGACGGUACCUCCACAAGAAGCCCCGGCUAACUACGU